AACGCACCUUGCGCUCCUUGGUAUUCCGAGGAGCAUGCCUGUUUGAGUGUCAUGGAAUUCUCAACUUCCACCGCUUUUCAGUGGCGGAGGCUUGGACUUGGAGGUCGUGUCGGCUUGCAAAGGUCGACUCCUCUGAAAUGCAUCAGUGCGAGCCUUACGGAUCGCUUCGGUGUGAUAAUUGUCUACGCCGUGGUGUGAAGUAUGCUUGUGUUCGCGCUUCUAACCGUCCGAGAGGACACUUUGUAACGAUUUGACCUCAAAUCAGGUAGGACUACCCGCUGAACUUAA
rnacentral:misc_RNA from 1 species